GACGAACGCUGGCGGCGUGCUUAACACAUGCAAGUCGAACGGCAAGGCCCUGCUUUCGUGGGGUGCUCGAGUGGCGAACGGGUGAGUAACACGUGAGUAACCUGCCCUUGACUUUGGGAUAACUUCAGGAAACUGGGGCUAAUACCGGAUCGGAGCUCCUGUUCCAUGGAGGGGGUUGGAAAGUUUCGGCGGUCGGGGCUGGACGCGCGGAUUAUCAGCUAGUUGGUGGGGUAGGGGCUUACCCAGGCUUUGGCGGGUAGGCGGCCUGAGAGGGGGACCGGGCACAAGGGGACUGAGAGACGGACCAGAGGGCUACGGGGGGCAGCAGGGGGGAGUAUGGCACAGUGGGCGGGAGCCGGAGGCGGAGGCGCCGGGGGCGGGAUGACGGCCUGUGGGGUGUGAACCGCUGUCGGCUGUGACGAAGCGUGAGUGACGGUAAUGGGUGAAGAAGCACCGGCUAACUACGUG
rnacentral:rRNA from 1 species